rnacentral:rRNA from 1 species
UACGUAGGUGGCGAGCGUUGUCCGGAAUUACUGGGCGUAAAGCGUGCGCAGGCGGUUAUGUAAGACAGGUGUGAAAUCCCCGGGCUUAACCUGGGAACUGCAUUUGUGACUGCAUAGCUAGAGUACGGUAGAGGGGGAUGGAAUUCCGCGUGUAGCAGUGAAAUGCGUAGAUAUGCGGAGGAACACCGAUGGCGAAGGCAAUCCCCUGGACCUGUACUGACGCUCAUGCAUGAAAGCGGUGGGGAGCAAACAGG